rnacentral:rRNA from 1 species
AGUGAACGCUGGCGGUAGGCCUAACACAUGCAAGUCGAACGGCAGCACAGUAAGCGCUUGCUCUUACGGGUGGCGAGUGGCGGACGGGUGAGGAAUACAUCGGAAUCUACUUUUUCGUGGGGGAUAACGUAGGGAAACUUACGCUAAUACCGCAUACGACCUACGGGUGAAAGCAGGGGAUCUUCGGACCUUGCGCGAUUGAAUGAGCCGAUGUCGGAUUAGCUAGUUGGCGGGGUAAAGGCCCACCAAGGCGACGAUCCGUAGCUGGUCUGAGAGGAUGAUCAGCCACACUGGAACUGAGACACGGUCCAGACUCCUACGGGAGGCAGCAGUGGGGAAUAUUGGACAAUGGGCGCAAGCCUGAUCCAGCAAUACCGCGUGGGUGAAGAAGGCCUUCGGGUUGUAAAGCCCUUUUGUUGGGGAAGAAAAGCAGCAGGUUAAUACCCCGCUGUUCUGACGGUACCCAAAGAAUAAGCACCGGCUAACUUCGUG